UCAGUACAGGCCUUAAUACGGUGAAACCGCGAAUGGCUCAUUAAAUCAGCUAUGGUUUAUUGGAUCAUACCCGUUAAAUGGAUAACUGUAAUAACUCUAGAGCUAAUACAUGCCCCGAUGCCCUGACCCCACUUGCAUGAGUGGGGAAUGGGUGCACUUAUUAGAUCAGAAGCCAACCAAUUGUGCGUGUGUGGCCUGGCUACACGCGUACGUUGAAGCACUUCUGGUGACUCUGGAUAAUUGUUACAGAUCGCAGNNGGCCNUUGAGUCGGCGACGGGUCCUUCAAAUGUCUGCCCUAUCAACUUUCGAUGGUAGGUGACCUGCCUACCAUGGUGAUAACGGGUAACGGGGAAUCAGGGUUCGAUUCCGGAGAGGGAGCCUGAGAAACGGCUACCACUUCCAAGGGAGGCAGCAGGCGCGCAAAUUACCCACUCCCAGCACGGGAGGUGGU
rnacentral:rRNA from 1 species